ACAAGAAACAUUAUAGACCAUCCUUUUAACCGUCACUUCACUAUAUAAACAAGGCGACGGGAAGUGUUAUCUCAUCAACCAAAGACAACAAGAAAACAAAACGAGUGGAAGCCUUAAAACAAAAGAGAGAGAGAAAUGGCGACGUCUGGAACAUAUGUGACGGAGGUUCCUUUAAAAGGAACGGCGGAGAAACACUACAAGAGGUGGAGGAACGAGAACCAUGCUUUCCCUGACGCCGUCGGCCACCACAUCCAAAGUGUCACCGUUCAUGAUGGCGAAUGGGACUCUCAUGGCGCCAUCAAGAUUUGGAACUACACAUUGAAUGGAAAAGCAGGAGGUAUUCAAGGAGAGGAGAGAGAUAGACGAUGAGAAGAAAACGGUGACGUUUAGAGGACUGGAGGGUCAUGUGAUGGAGCAGCUCAAGGUGUAUGAGGCCAACUUCCAAUUCAUUCCCAAAUCUGAGGAUGGCAGCGUCUGCAAAAUCACUUUUAACUGGGAGAAGCGCAACGAUGACUUCCCCGAUCCCAGCAACUACAUGAAAUUCAUCAAGAGCUUGGCUGCUGACAUGGACGACCACGUUAUAAAAGCUUAAUAAUCACCAUGAUUACCGUCAUCAUCAAUAAUAUAAUAAAUGGAGUGUUGUGGCUUUUCAUUUCUAUGUAACCGUUUGUUUUUUGUAAGAUGCUUUGAUAUGUACGUUGUUUGUGGUCAUCAUCCGGUUUGAUGUAAUGAAUGAAUCUACGUUAUAAGCAGCAUCACUCUCCUUAUGCGACAAGUCAUCAUUUUUGUGGGUAGGGUUUCUUCUUCUCUUCCAGAAGCUUCGACGUCACAAGACGCUUCCAAUUUCGGCGAUUCAUUUUGGUUACUCGAUCCUUUGUUCCUGUCUCCAUCCUCCAUCCUCCAUCCUCCAUCCUCCUAUAUGUAAAGGUAGUCUACAGUUUCAUCUCCCUUUCAACUUUUCUUCUCGAGUUUUUCCUUCGUUUGACACUGCAACUGCCGUCACGAAAAUCAGGUAGCGAGCGUGUAAUCACAUCCCGAGGCAUGACUCAGCAAGGAGAAGAUAUAAACUCUGCAACUGAAGGAAGAGUUAGCAGAGACUGAUACGCGAAACACUCUGAGUUAUACAAGGAACUUCAAUCUGUGCGGAGUCUAGGUGUUUCAACUUAGAGGUAUGUAGGAAGUUCUGGUUUGAUAUCUGAAUAUCUCUAUGUGCUCGCAGGUUGAGGUUGCAGAGGUAAGACAAAAGCGUCAUGUUUUUGGCUGACGGUGCCGCCGGAAAAGCACUGACCGUUGGAUAUGAAUGGAAGCCAUUACGGAAGCGAUCAUGGGUUGACGAGGGUGCCUACGACAGUUCCCACUAAUUGACAUUUGGAUUAAAUAUUUUGUGCUGUUGUUAAGUGCAGUUUUGGCGUGUUUACUCUCAUGAUAAUGUUCCAACGCUCUUUUCUCUCUUUGUCAACUCUGUAAAAGUACUUAUGUAAUUACCAGAAAAUUACUCAACAUAAACUCAAAGUUAAAUUUUGAUCUUAACU